rnacentral:rRNA from 1 species
CCUACGGGUGGCUGCAGUGAGGAAUAUUGGUCAAUGGUCGGGAGACUGAACCAGCCAAGCCGCGUGAGGGAUGAAGGUACUGUGUAUCGUAAACCUCUUUUGUCAGGGAACAAAGGCGGGUACGUGUCCCCGGAUGAGUGUACCUGAAGAAUAAGCAUCGGCUAACUCCGUGCCAGCAGCCGCGGUAAUACGGAGGAUGCGAGCGUUAUCCGGAUUUAUUGGGGUUAAAGGGUGCGCAGGCGGCUGAGUAAGACAGAUGUGAAAUCCCCGGGCGUAACCUGGGAACCGCAUAUGUGACUGGUUGGCUAGAGUGCGUCAGAGGGAGGUGGAAUGCAUGGUGUAGCAGUGAAAUGCGUAGAUAUGUGGAAGAACACCGAUGGCGAAGGCAGCCUCCUGGGACGCAACUGACGCUCAUACACGAAAGCGUGGGGAGCAAACAGGAUUAGAUACCCUGGUAGUC